CACGUAGGGCGCAAGCGUUGUCCGGAAUUAUUGGGCGUAAAGAGCUCGUAGGCGGUCUGUUGCGUCCGCUGUGAAAACUCGGGGCUUAACCCCGAGCCUGCAGUGGAUACGGGCAGACUAGAGGUAGGUAGGGGAGAAUGGAAUUCCCGGUGUAGCGGUGAAAUGCGCAGAUAUCGGGAGGAACACCGGUGGCGAAGGCGGUUCUCUGGGCCGAUACUGACACUGAGGAGCGAAAGCGUGGGGAGCGAACAGG
rnacentral:rRNA from 1 species